rnacentral:rRNA from 1 species
UACGUAGGUGGCAAGCGUUAUCCGGAUUUAUUGGGCGUAAAGGGAACGCAGGCGGUCUUUUAAGUCUGAUGUGAAAGCCUUCGGCUUAACAGGAGUAGUGCAUUGGAAACUGGGAGACUUGAGUGCAGAAGAGGAGAGUGGAACUCCAUGUGUAGCGGUGGAAUGCGUAGAUAUAUGGAAGAACACCAGUGGCGAAAGCGGCUCUCUGGUCUGUAACUGACGCUGAGGUUCGAAAGCGUGGGUAGCAAACAGG